UACAUAGGGAGCGAGCGUUAUCCGGAUUUAUUGGGCGUAAAGCGUGCGCAGGCGGUUAUGUAAGACAGGUGUGAAAUCCCCGGGCUUAACCUGGGAACUGCAUUUGUGACUGCAUAGCGAGAGUACGGUAGAGGGGGAUGGAAUUCCGCGUGUAGCAGUGAAAUGCGUAGAUAUGCGGAGGAACACCGAUGGCGAAGGCAAUCCCCUGGACCUGUACUGACGCUCAUGCACGAAAGCGUGGGGAGCAAACAGG
rnacentral:rRNA from 1 species